GGGUGGAUAGUUUAGUUAAAAUGGUGCCAUGUGGAGGCACAGAAAGCUUGAGGCUUCAUCCU
rnacentral:tRNA from 1 species